rnacentral:rRNA from 1 species
GACGAACGCUGGCGGCGUGCUUAACACAUGCAAGUCGAACGGUGAAGCGCUUGCCUUUUUGGUGGGUGUGGAUGAGUGGCGAACGGGUGAGUAACACGUGAGUAACCUGCCCUCUUCUUCUGGAUAACCUCAUGAAAGUGGGGCUAAUACGGGGUAUUCCGGGUCUGUCGCAUGGCGGGUUUGGGAAAGAUUGCGCCUUUGGGUGUUUUCGGUGGGGGAUGGGCUCGCGGCCUAUCAGCUUGUUGGUGGGGUGAUGGCCUACCAAGGCGGUGACGGGUAGCCGGCCUGAGAGGGUGGACGGCCACACUGGGACUGAGACACGGCCCAGACUCCUGCGGGAGGCAGCAGUGGGGAAUAUUGCACAAUGGGCGCAAGCCUGAUGCAGCGACGCCGCGUGAGGGAUGGAGGCCUUCGGGGUGUGAACCUCUUUCGCCAGUGAAGCAGGCCUGCUCCUGUGUGGGUGGGUUGACGGUAGCUGGAUAAGAAGCGCCGGCUAACUACGUG